UACGAAGGGGGCUAGCGUUGCUCGGAAUCACUGGGCGUAAAGCGCACGUAGGCGGCUUCUUAAGUCAGGGGUGAAAUCUUGGAGCUUAACUCCGAAACUGCAUUCGAUACUGCCGUGCUUGAGGACUGGAGAGGAGACUGGAAUUUACGGUGUAGCGGUGAAAUGCGUAGAUAUCGUAAGGAAGACCAGUGGCGAAGGCGGGUCUCUGGACAGUUCCUGACGCUGAGGCACGAAGGCCAGGGGAGCAAACGGG
rnacentral:rRNA from 1 species